GAUCAUCCAAUCACUUCUCGGGGUGACGGUCGGUCACAGAAAGGUACUUGGCGGUGCUGAUCCACUGAGCUCUCUUGAAAGCUGAAAGGAAAUAAGUCAAUAAGAUGAUCAUAAGGUGCUUGCAGUUAUCUUUUGUGUUGUCGUUGGCUGGCAGAGUUAAUGUCUCUGCACAGAACGUCACAACAGGAUUCCAAGGAAGAGCUGUUGUCUUGCCAUGUUAUACGCCAAUUGAUGAAACCCAGCUAAAAAUAUUCUGGUCCUGUACAGGCAAAAGUGUCUAUGAUUUUGUUCAUGGGAAAGAUGAUCUGUCAGACCAGGACAUCCAGUUCAAAAACCGGCCUGUUUCCAAGUGAAUUUAAAAAAGGAAUUUUUUCCUUGGAGUUGAUCAAUCUGAAUAAGUGGGAUAAUGGAGUGUACAUCUGUCAUGUAAAUUUGAAGCAGACAAACAUGAUACAACCUCUUGUUGAAGAUAUUUAACUAUUUUUGUAUAAACAUUUGUUAAAUUGUAUAUUAAAACAUUACCUAGGCUUAAGGAAAAUAAUUUAAGUAAAAACAGGCCUUGCAAAAUUCAGAUUUUUUAAAAUGUUUUUGUGUAUGAUUUGCUCAGUUGUAGCCUCAGAACAACAUUAAUUACGAUUCAUUCCAUUUCCACAGACUAAUGAACACAAUCCACUGAACAUUUACUGCCACACUAAAUUGCAUUGUACACUAAAUUCUACAUUUAAAACUGAAAACAUGGUAUUUUAUUCUAGAUUCCAUAUUAAAUAGCAGAACUUCUGUGUGAAGAACUUCAUCAGACUUUGUGAUCCAAAACAUAAAGUAUGUUGUACUGCUAUUCACAUUUUUGUAUUGGUUAUGCUUGAAUUGUAGUGAUUAAUGAUUAACUAUCUUCUUAAUAGGAGUAGUUUUGUAUUCUGAUUUCCAUACUUCCAAACUGCUGGUUAUUAUUUUCUGAGGUGAUGUAGUAUAUUUUUAAAAUGGCCUGUGCUGUCCUGACUUGACUGCAGCAGCUGUUUUCUGCAUGGUCUUUCUGCUUCUGCUGUUCACCCCUUCCUCCCCAUUCUGCUGUUUCACUUUUGUUUUCUGUCCCUCAUCUUUUCCCAUGUCUCCACCCUAUUGCUCUUUUAUACUGUACCUUACCAUCUGUAUACUGUGGCAAAUUCCAGUUCUUGUUUAUUGAUCCUUCAUAUCAUAACUUCUCUUUAUUCCGUACACUGUACCCAGGUUUCCAUGUUCUUAACCAAGCCACCUUCUGUUUAUUUUGACAACUGGUAAUCAAAAACAUUUUGAUUAUUCAUUAUGUGCAUUCAAAAUGUGCUAUUGUAUUAUCAUGUAGUAGUUCAGAUGGGUUGCUGGGUCAGCAUGCGUAGGCUGCAAAGGAACAAGUAAUAGGUUUAUUCCAUGCUGAAAACAAGAAGAAAGAAAACACAACGUUUCGGCCGUGGAGCCUUCUUGGAGGAGCCAGGUGUAUUAUCAUUGCACUGAUCUGUUUUGUUUUAUUUUUACUUAAAUUAAUGUAUUGUAUACCUGAAUGUAUUUUGUUUUUUUCAAUUCAUGUACAUUGGACUAAAUAAGAACAGCUGCAAAGAAAAUUAACAAAAGUUUUUUUCUUAAGGCGUGUGCCCCCCGACCACGAUCUCCGCCAUCUCUCUGUCAGCGGAGAAGCUAGGAAAAUAAACUCCACUCGCUGAGACAGCUAGUGAAGGACACAGAGAGAUUUGACCCCACAGUGUCAAGGAAUAAUGUCGAGAGUUAUAUUCAUGAUGCCACAGAACCGGAGAAAGUGUUGCUGGUGAGAAAAACUACCAGCAGAGCCAUACAUGAGUGGAUGGCAAGGCAGACGAAAGAGGUCUGUAUUGACUUUGAGGAGCUGUGCCAAGCUCUGAUCCAAGAGUACAGUGCGUUUAUUGACCUGAUUGCUGCCGUGGCCACCGCCCAUCACAUUAAGCACGAGAGAGCCGGGUUCCCUAGUGAAUAUUACGAGAAAAUUAGACGCACUUAUUUUUCAGGGUGAAAUUAUGAGGGUUGUGAAGAGAACGCAAAUUUCAAGCGUUUAUUCAUUGCCAAUCUCCACCCGUCAGUCAGAAAAAUGAUUGUGAUGCAUGCAGAUGCACAAACCAUGAAAAUGACUGAUAUUAGGAGAUUAGUGCCGAAAGCCUGGGAGUAUGAGGUCCACGGUCCCUCCAAGCAAAAAGCUAUUAAAGCGACUUUGUUUGCCGCCAGCAGGAUUAAUACCCUCCUGCUUGAAGGAGCGGAAGCUGCUGAGCCAGCUAAGCCCUGGCGCAAAGCAGGCAUACAGGACUGCACCCAGCACCCACCCUAACCCUAACCCUAAACGCCGUGAGAACACCGGGGGAGGAAAAGGACUAGAGAAAGCUAGCCAAAAGGAUGCGGUAGCCGCCCGCCUGGCCAGGCUUGAACAGGCUUGAUUUGGACAGGGACAAACUUUCCCCAAGGCUGCCAGAAAUGAGCUAGAUCUCUCCACCUCAGGAGAGCGGGCCACGCGCCUCUCCACUGGAAGAGGCGGAGACCCGCCCCCUCCCCCUCCCUCAGUCUAUCAGAUUGAGCUGAAGGGUUCCUGCCUGGAUGAGGUCAGUCACUCCCACUCGAGUGCUGACUCCACCCCUGAAGUCAGAGGGAAAGCAGGUUCUAGACGGCUUCUGGGGAAGUUAAGACAGAGAGGAAAAGCCAGAGGUUUUUACCUCAAGGUUGCCAUGGGAGACGUCAUACACAAGGAGGCACUGAUUGACACUGGGUCCAGAAUGUGUUGGAUGUCAUCAGAUUUAAUCGGCAAGCUCAAACGGGUAGCAAAAGGAAAGGGCAUGUGACUUAGAGUGGAACCUUCGGUGGAUAUCCAGCAAGGGAAAUUGUGGGUUCAGGUCAAGGCCCCUAAGCCUUUGUACAGAAGGAAAGGGGGGUCAAGAGGCAAAUUGUGCUCACACAGUGUCCACCGAACACAGUCGCCCAGGCAGAGAUUUCUUCUGUUCCCUCUGGACAAGAAGUACAUUUUCUUGUUUCCCGGAUAUACAGGGAAGUCCUGCCCUGGCCAAGGUCCCAACAGCCUCCCUGCCACAGCCCUUUUACAUCCCUAAAGAGGAGCGGAUCUCCUCACCUGGUGAUGAAAAGGAGUUUUCCCUUUGCACCCUGCCAGGACCACAGGUCAGGACCACCACUCCGCGUUGGUGGAAGAGAUCCAGAUGGCAGGAGAGCAGAUUGGUGAUGUAGCCCUCACCCUUCGCUCUGAGAAGUCUUCUAUUAAUGAGGAUCUGUUUGAGCAGCUGUCACAGAGCCACCGCCAAGUGACCCUGGUGCAACAUUCACAGGUUAGACAGGGGGCUCAGCUGGACACUGGGUCUAGUGUGCUGUGGACACACCUGAGUCCAGAUGCCAAUCCCCUCUGCUGUGACCCAGGGAACUUGCAGUCAGGUAACAUUAUUUCUCAGGCCUGUCAGGUAGUGAGUGAGAUUGACCUGAUUGUUCCUGCCUCUACGGCAGGGAUUCCAACACACCCUGUUCCCAGGAAGGGGACUGAGUCUGACCAAUGGUAGUACACCCAGACUGGAGCUGGAUGGUCAAGCCACCCGCCUGUUAGUGCAAAACAUGGCAAAGGGGGGUGUCGGAAUCCCCUCCCGCACUGACCUGGGCCUGGUGAGUGAUAGCGAGUUCCAUGACUGUGAAUUAGCUAUCCCAGUGCUGGGGCAGCUCCCUGACCCCCUAACGAGGGAAGGGGGGAGCGAGCAGGUGUCCUAAACCCACCCCCAGCGAACGAUUGCAAACAUGCUGUUAGAGGGAUUCUUCAAUCAGGAGGUGUGUAGGGUGGACCUGAACAGUGAGAAUGGGAUAAUCAUUCCAGUUCACUCAGGGGCUCCAGGUGACCACUAAACUGAGGGUUAGGCAGGCUCUACCACUGCACCACCCCCAGUGGGGUUCUUUGAGCACAGGCAUGAACAAAUUGAAAAAGCAGAUGCCCUGGAAAUCAAGGAGCAGCAUCAGCAGCUACUCCAGAUCUCCCCAGAUUUCCAGGACAUUGUCGCACAGGAUGCCACAUGGCAUACCAAGAAAGACACCAUGUACAUGCUCCGCCAGCAUAGAAAGGGGACAGUCACUCAGGAGGAAAUGAAUGGGAUCAGCCACCCUAAAAGAUUUUUAGGGGCACUGAUUGCUGCUACUGUUGUGGGUUUGCUAUUUUUGGUAUGUCUGUUUGCCACUAACACUGUCACCCUGACGACCUUGGGCAGGCAGAUGUCAGAGAUUAGUGACAGGCUGUAUCAACAGCAGCAGGAGCUGGAAAGCCUAGGGAAAACCCUACGGAUAACUUUCUAUGCAACAGGGUUAACUCAUAUCCUCCACCCAUUGAGCAGGAUUGUCGGUGUUGUAUGUUUACGCUUGUGUGCAACAGGCCAGAAUGUUGACACAAGACCUGUUUAGGGAGCUUAGUGCCACUGUAGCCAGUCUAGCCUUGGGACAAAUCCCAACCCACUUGAUCCCACUCUUCUCAGUAGAAGAGCAUGCAACAUUAACCACUCUACCGUUUAUAGCUCACCUAGAAGGUGAUCCAAGAUUGAACCUGGUUCCAAAUCUUUAGAUGGGUAUGUCUACCAAAGCUAUCCAUUGUCUGUGUCUAAACGAUUCACCAAUGAAGGGUGUAAAGCUACUAUAAUGGACAGAGGGAGGUUAAUGAACCCCAUGGAGAGCAGGUGGGAAGUAAAUGGCUGGUCAGCACACCACAUUUAACUGACACUAUGAUGUGUCACAGGCAUGAUACAGCUACCACAAUGCAGCCGCCCAAUCAAACAGUUUUCUGCAUGUUCCUGAGGAGGCCAUCUUGGUCUUGGUGACUUAACACUGUACUGUCUAGAGUCAGACAAUAUAAGACCAAACUUGAGGUCGUGAAUGCCUUCAGGGGCCACACUGUUGAAUUGGGUAGUAAAAUCCAAGAAACAGUAAGCCUUGAAGGGGUACAGGUAGUUGAGUUUGCUUUUAAUGGAACAGAUCUCCAGACUGCCCUGGUGGGUGCCCAACACAGUUUUGAGGUUCACCAGUGUUGUUAUUCUAUCGCUGCUGCUGGGCAGCUGGAUCAUGACUGGCAUGGUACUCUGGAUGCUGUACUCUCACAUCAUGAUGUACUCCGGGUAGCAUAAAUGGGUCAAAGGUAGCACGUCAAAGAAAGGAGGUGACCACUCCCCAAAUAUCUGCCUACUGCAGAGGUAUCAGAUACUGACAGUGAACUUCCUGAUGUUUAAUGCCUAGACUGAGAUGAUGUCUACUACCUUGUUUAUACAUACUCCAGGUGCUAUGAUAAGCUAAGUGAUGGUCAGUAUCUCAUGUGAGUGUGACUUGUCAUCUGUUCUAGCAGAUGUUAUUCAUCAUGUUUGAUUCCAAUGCUAGUUCCUGUAUGAAUUCUCGAAAAAUAAUGUGGACCUUGUAGGUUAAUGUUUUAAUGAUACUAGGGGCAUCACUUAAUCCUGUGUUUUGGUUUGAAGACAACAACGUCUCAGGACCUCGUGACCUUCAAAAAGGGGGGAUAUGUAGCGGCAAGGCUUAUUAAUAAUACAGGAAUUAAGUUUGCUUUUUACAAAAGCUUGUAGUACAAACAUGUCCAAGCUUGGUUACCUAAACGCAACAUGCCAGUCUCUCUCUCCCUCAUCUUAGUGGUGCUGGACACAGAGAUCCAUGACGGCCACUAUGUCCGAGUGCCAGGACUUUACUGUGUUCUAAGAGUCAACAUCAGAGGUCACCCUCGUGUAACCAAAGGAUCAGCCCGAGGUUAGCCCAGCAGCAAACCUGCUGGGCUAACCUCCCAGUGGGGGGCCGGUACCCCACCGCAAAAGCUCGCCUGAUCAAUGAGUGAACUACGGUCAGAACUAUAGACAGCUGAAUCUCAGUAUUCAGGACUAGCAUUACAUCAGGAACGAACCGGUCUUAUUCCCGUCUAAAGAGUGU